rnacentral:rRNA from 1 species
GAUGGAGCACCGCCGCGUGUGUGAUGAAGGGUUUCCGGCUCCGUAAAACACUGUUGUAAGAGAAGAAUGACAUUGAGAGUAACUGUUCAAUGUGUGACGGUAUCUUACCAGAAAGGAACGGCUAAUACGUGCCAGCAGCCGCGGUAAU